rnacentral:rRNA from 1 species
UACGAAGGGGGCUAGCGUUGUUCGGAAUCACUGGGCGUAAAGGGUGCGCAGGCGGGAUCUUAAGUCAGGGGUGAAAUCCCGGGGCUCAACCUCGGAACUGCCCUUGAUACUAGGGUUCUUGAGUCCGGAAGAGGUGAGUGGAACUGCGAGUGUAGAGGUGAAAUUCGUAGAUAUUCGCAAGAACACCAGUGGCGAAGGCGGCCCACUGGUCCGGAACUGACGCUGAGGCACGACAGCGUGGGGAGCAAACAGG